AAUUUUAAAUUCAACUAUGUCCCUUCACUUGGUGAUUCUUAUCCAAUUUGGUGGAAUUGGAGUCUACUUACAAAGUGAUGAGGACUAGAUACUGUGGGGUGAUUCUUCCUUUCCUCCAGAGGAGGUGAUGUGUUGUGAUAUAGGUGGAAUUAGAACAUAGAGAUAGAGUUCUUGUCUUUUCAUUAUCCUUCCUGCUCUGAAUUAGGCACACCUUAUUCUACAAGCCCAUGUUUUUAUGUCCCAGCAAUUACCAGAAGCACCUACAUUAAUAAAUGACAAAAAAUGGAGCUUUAUAACAAAACUCUCAAAUGUUAAAUUCCACAUAUGAAUAUACAUGAACAAAAUCUAAAUCUAAAAUCUGCCUUUUUUUCUUUCUUUUUUGCUCCUUCCCCCCAAUUUAAUAAAAGGAAAAAAGAUCACCUAAAAAUCAAAAUUCUUGCAAAGUGUGCUUAGCUAGAAAAUUCCCAAGAUCCAGACGCUUACAAGGGCCACACAAACUGUACAUGCUUGAGGAUCUUAGAGAGGCACUAGCUGUUGCCACAGUUAUUUCUU
rnacentral:lncRNA from 1 species